AAGCCUAAUACUAAUUUCGGGGAUAAUUUCUUUAGUUUUUAUCUUGAGAAAUGUUUUUCUAAAGUGCGAGUCCCGCCACCCACCAUGAUGAGCCUGGGGUGCUUCUCCCUGACCGCGAAGCAGAUACAGAGAAGUGGUUUAAUCACUCGCUAUGUGCUUUUGGUGACCGUUCAGUGUUGCUUUUUAUGGAGUUAUCAAGAGGAAGGAGCAUGUUUGGUGUGGU